rnacentral:rRNA from 1 species
AUGUCUCAGAGUAAGUAUUUUCCCCCGAAGCUGCCAAUGGCUCAUUAAAACCGUUAUAGUUUAUGCCGUUGUGGUCCAUUAUAUGAAUAACUAUACCAAUUGUAGAGCUAAUGCAUGCGUGAAGUCCCCACUAUAUUAUGCAGGGGUGUUUUUAUUAGGUACAGAAACUUACAAUGGCCUCCGCCUGACUUGUAGAUGAUUCAUAAUGACUGUACGGAUCCCCCUGAAUUUGGCGACCUUCUGUUCACGUUUCUGACCUAUCAGCUUUCGACGGUAGGGUAUUGUCCUAUCGUGGCGUUGACGGGUAACGGAGAAUUGGGGUUCGAUUCCGGAGAGGGAGCCUGAGAAACGGCUACCACAUCUAAGGAAGGCAGCAGGCGCGUAAAUUAUUUUUUCCCGACGCAGGGAGGUAGUGACAAGAAAUAACAAUACAGCGCAUCAAUGCGCUGUGAUUGGAAUGAGUUUAAUUUAAAAGGCUAUGCGAUUAUCAAUUGGAGGGCAAGUCUGGUGCCAGCAGCCGCGGUAAUUCCAGCUCCAAUAGCGUAUAUUAAAGUUGUUGCGGUUAAAAAGCUCGUAGUUGGACUUGUGCGAAGGUCUGUGGGUACGCCCUUCGGGUGUUCACUCUACGGUGUCCGUCGCCUCUCUGGAGUUCGUCGCCAUGCCUUGUUGCGUGGUGCGGUUUCCGGAGCUUCUACUUUGAGGAAAUUAGAGUGUUCUCGGCAGGCAAUUGCCCUGAAUAUGUUAGCAUGGAAUAAUGCGAAAAGGCCUCGGUUUUUCUUGUUGGUUUCUAACCCCGAGGUGAUGAUUAAUAUGAGCUGUUGGGGGCAUCUGUAUUUAACUGUCAGAGGUGAAAUUCUUGGAUUUGUUAAGGACAGACUAGUGCGA